rnacentral:rRNA from 1 species
GCUUAACACAUGCAAGUCGAGGGGCAGCGGGGAUGUAGCUUGCUAUAUCUGCCGGCGACCGGCGCACGGGUGAGUAACACGUAUGCAACCUGCCCAUUGCAGGGGGAUAAGCAGAAGAAAUUCUGUCUAAUACCGCGUAAUAUGAGAUUGAGGCAUCUCGGUUUCAUUAAAGAUUUAUCGGCAAUGGAUGGGCAUGCGGCGCAUUAGCUAGUUGGCGGGGUAACGGCCCACCUAGUCUACGAUGUCUAGGGGUUCUGAGAGGAAGGUCCCCCACACUGGAACUGAGACACGGUCCAGACUCCUACGGGAGGCAGCAGUGAGGAAUAUUGGUCAAUGGUCGGAAGACUGAACCAGCCAAGUAGCGUGAAGGAUGAAGGUUCUAUGGAUUGUAAACUUCUUUUAUACGGGAAUAAAACACCUUACGUGUAGGGUCUUGUAUGUACCGUAUGAAUAAGCAUCGGCUAACUCCGUGCCAGCAGCCGCGGUAAUACGGAGGAUGCGAGCGUUAUCCGGAUUUAUUGGGUUUAAAGGGAGCGUAGGCGGGUUAUUAAGUCAGUCGUCAAAGCCUGCGGCUCAACCGCAGCCCGCGAUUGAUACUGGUAACCUUGAGUGCGGAUGAGGUGGAUGGAAUUCGUGGUGUAGCGGUGAAAUGCUUAGAUAUCACGAA